ACAGUUUUUCUGGACAAAAUGGAUAAAAGAUUUGCUUACCCACUGAGGAUCCAAGGCUUUCCUGUGUCCAGGGUAGUAGACGUGUGUAUCUUCUAGGUGUGGAUUCUGCAGUGCUGCACGGAAACCCACUGCAGCCUCAGACCGGCGGUGGCGGCGGCAACAGCAGCAGCGGCGGCGGCAGCAGCAGCGGCGGUGGCAGCAGCAGCAGUGGCGGCAGCAGCUUCUCCCAACGCUGAGUAGUAAAGUAAAUGAGGAGGUGUGGUCCCAAAAUAUGAAUAGAGAAAAAUAUGGAAAAUAUUCUGCAAUUGAUUUUUUUGCACAGCCUUUGUUAACUACCUGUGUGAUCUUGAGCAAAAAGGGUCUCGUACGAGGCUCCUUCAUGUGAAGAAAAAUGGCUACCUGAGUGUGGAGACAAUCCUCCUCUUCUUCCACAUCUUCAAAGUGUGUCCCACACCCAUCGACAGAGAGAUAAUUGAGAGACCAGCCUGGGACUUGCAUCUGUACUCACCUGGGUACAGAGUGAGGGUGACACAUACAUUCAACAACUUAUUCUCGAACAUUCAGAGGCUCUGCAGAUACAGCGUAGAUUUUCUGAGCCGGUCUCCCUGCAGUCUGGCCAUCGCACAGCAUGCUUCAGCCCAGAAGGUACGCGGGUCUCUCACUGUUGUGGCCUCUCCCGUUGCGGAGCACAGACUCCGGAUGCGCAGGCACAGCGGCCAUGGCUUACGGGCCCAGCCGCUCCGUGGCAUGUGGGAUCUUCCCGGACCGGGGCACGAAUCCGUGUCCCCUGCAUCGGCAGGCGGACUCUCAACCACUGCGCCACCAGGGAAGCCCUAAAUUAUAUCCAUUUUAUAGCCAUGGAAGUUGAGGUUGAGAAUGAAUAAAAUAACUUGUUUGAAGUAACACAGUUAGUGACAGAGCACAGAUUCAGUCCCAGCUUUGUCUGAUGCUAAAGUCCAUGGAGAACAUUUAUGGAAGUGUAAAAUGCAUAUCCCCUCUGACCCAGUAAUUCUACUUGUAGGAAUUUAUCCUCGUGAUCUUGUGAUUUAUAAUAAGAAACAUAUAUUUGGUCUACGUCCCAUUUCUGGCACACAGCUCCUAAAACUCUUGGAAUUUCCUAAGUGAUGAGAGAGAUAAAGAUGUCUUUUGUUCUGUUAAUGAGGUGACUUGUGUAUCACACCUAAGGAUGGAGUGUGGUUGCCAGAGGAGCAAACCACGUGAUUAGAGGGUUGGAACUUUUAGUCACAGCCCCUUCCCUUUCCCCACCUUGAGCUUAAUCACCAAUGGACAAUGAUCUUCAUUCCUCUGUAAUGAAGCCUCCCUAAAAACUCAAAAAGGAUGGGGUUCAGAGGGCUUCCUGUUUGGUGAAUAUGUGCAGUUUCGGGGAGAGUGGCACUCUCAGAGAGCACGGAAUCUCUGUGCCCUUUCCCCAUACCUUGCCCUGUGCAUCUCUUCUGUCUGGCUGUUCCUGAGUUGUACCUUUUAUAAUAAACCAGUAAUCUAGUAAGUAAAAUGUUUCUUUGAGUUCUGUGAGCUGCUUUAGCAAAUGAAUUGAACCCAAGGAGGGAGUCAUUGGAACUUUGGAUCUAUAGUGGUCAGUCAGAAGCACAGGUCAGAAGCAUCUGGAAUUGUGAUUGGUGUCUGAAGUGGAAACCU